rnacentral:rRNA from 1 species
AUAACAGUUAGAAAUGACUGCUAAUACCGCAUAAGCGCACAGGACCGCAUGGUCCGGUGUGAAAAACUCCGGUGGUAUGGGAUGGAUCCGCGUCUGAUUAGCUGGUUGGUGAGGUAACGGCCCACCAAGGCGACGAUCAGUAGCCGACCUGAGAGGGUGGCCGGCCACAUUGGGACUGAGACACGGCCCAAACUCCUACGGGAGGCAGCAGUGGGGAAUAUUGCACAAUGGGGGGAACCCUGAUGCAGCAACGCCGCGUGAGUGAAGAAGUAUUUCGGUAUGUAAAGCUCUAUCAGCAGGGAAGAAGAAAGACGGUACCUGACUAAGAAGCCCCGGCUAACUACGUGCCAGCAGCCGCGGUAAUACGUAGGGGGCAAGCGUUAUCCGGAUUUACUGGGUGUAAAGGGAGCGUAGACGGCUGUGCAAGUCUGAAGUGAAAGCCCGUGGCUCAACCGCGGAACUGCUUUGGAAACUGUAUAGCUUGAGUACUGGAGAGGCAGGCGGAAUUCCUAGUGUAGCGGUGAAAUGCGUAGAUAUUAGGAGGAACACCAGUGGCGAAGGCGGCCUGCUGGACAGAAACUGACGUUGAGGCUCGAAAGCGUGGGGAGCAAACAGGAUUAGAUACCCUGGUAGUCCACGCGGUAAACGAUGAAUGCUAGGUGUUGGGGAGCAAAGCUCUUCGGUG